AACCAAUGAAACACUGGGCUGCCUGCAGCAGAGUGCGCGAACUUAACCACUCGGCCACGGGGCCGGCCCCCUGAAUAGUUUUCAUUUACCAUGAGUACGUGUGUUUUCUGCAGCGUUUUGAAGCUAUUUAAGGUAGUUAGGUUUGAAAGAAAAUAGAAAAUUCACGUAGAUCUAGUGGAAGAUGAUGAGUUGGGAAUCAGAGAAUUCCUUAUAGAAAAGUGGCAAAAUCUUACCCAAACCCUCAUCGCAAAUAUGAAUCCCCUUUCAACAUCUCCAGCUCCUCCUCCAAAACUUCCAGUGAUAGGGAAGCCCCUGAAAGGCAGGGAAAUGCUUGGAAUUUGGUGAUUCGAGGCCCAGAUUUGAGUUCUAGCCCUGCAAUAUGCCUUCUACUGUGAGACCCUGAGGGAUUAUUUAGCCUCACUAAAUCCCGCGAUCUUCAUUUGUAAAAGAAAUGCAAUAGUGCUGUGCUGAUCGUUCUCCAUCUUCCCUUGUACCUGUCCAUUCUUUACAGUUAUCUCUCCUACUCUGUGCCCUAGAAGGCUGACCCGUUCAGAAAGCAUCUUCCAUGUCCACUUACUUACCAGCAUCCCGUUGAGUUGGGCCAAUGGGAGGCACCAGCAGAAGAUGGAGGAGGGCACAGGAGAGAGAGGGCAGGGUACUUCUUUACUUCUCUGACUGCUCUGGGCUGCUAAUUCUGGCUGCAUCCCUCCCUGUCUACAGCUUCCUGGUCUCUUGUCAACAGCUUUGGCUCUUUCUGGGCCCCUGUACGGUUAGUUCUUCCCUUCCUUCUUCAGGCCUGGGAGUAUUAAGGACUUCCCCUUCCUACUGUUGGGAUCUCUGAGAAUCUCAAUGUCACUUGUUAGUUCCCUUAACUCUGCUCUUGCCUCUCUGUCAACCAUCCCUUUAUUAGAGUGUCUUCAACCACCUGCAUUGGAUUCCAUGUUCUUCCUGUCUGAGCCAAGUACCUGUCCUCCUUCUCUCUCAGAUGUGUGAAGAAGUUCAAAUGCAAUAAUAUAUGAAAGCAUUUUAUAGAUUCUAAGGAGUUAUUCAAAUGUUAGUUUUCAAUUUUACUGCCCAAACUGCCCAUUACUUUCUCAUUUGGCUUUAAUUGUUAUUAUCUUUAGCUUAAGUUUAGCUUGUUCAUAAAUUGCUGUAACGAUGAUCCGUCCACUCAUGUUAAGAAGUAAAUAUAAUCCCUGACAGCUCUUCAAAUCCGUGAAAAUAGUGGCAUUUGCACCUAGGCCUUCUUUUCUCUGAGUUAAUCAGUCUGAAUUGCCUCAAACAUUAUUCAUAUGACUUGGUUAUAAGUUUCCCUCCAUUCUGGUCACUCUUUUGAACACAUUCCAGUUCAAGAUCAUUCCUCUUUCACUGUGAUGUUCAGAACUUAACUUGAUACUACAGAUAUCAUCUCACUUGGCAGUAUUUCAUCUUUUUUGUUUGUUUUCCACUGACCUGUUCUCUUUGUCUUUUCCACCAACCUUUCUCUGCAGCUUUUUCCUUUUUUUUUUUUUUUUUUUUUUUUUUAACUUUGUGUGCUAGGCAGAAUAAUGACUACUUCCCCAAACUGUGACUAUGUUACCUUCCAUGUUCGAAGGACCUUCUAUGUUGGUUAAGGACCUUGUGAUGGGGAGAUUGUCCAGAUGGGCUCAAAGUAAUCACAGUCUUCCUUAAAAGUGGAUGAGGGGGAGCAGAAGAGGAGAUCAGAGUGGUGUGAUGUGAGAGCUCGACUCACUGUCACUGGCUUUGAAGAUGGCAGAAGGGGGCCGUGAGCCAAGGAAUGUGGGAGGCCUCUAGAAGCUGGAAAAGACAAAGAAGUAGGUUCUCCCCUAGAGCAUCCAGAAAGGAAUGUUGGCCUGCUGACACCUUGACUUUAGUCCAAUGAGACCCUUGUCAAACUUUUGAUUACAGAACUGUAAGAUAAUACAUUUUGGUUAUUUUAAGCCACUAAAUUUGUGAUAAUUUGUUAUAGUGCAAGAGAGAAUGAAUACACUUUGUGUGGAACAUUAAUCUCACUUUUCCCUUUCUUUUCAUAAGAUUUGUCUCAUCAUUCCAGGAUGUUGAGAAUAUCCUCAGUCGUGUUUCCCUUACCUAGUGUGUCAGCUUUCAGUGUAAGAUUCUUUCACUCAUAAAUUUGUUCAUCAUGGUAACCAUGUUGCUAACAUAGAUUGGCCAUGUCAGGACCCUGAUAAAAGCCCAAAUGUUUGACAUUUGGUGCUUCUCUCCCAAUUAACACUUAUGUAUAAAUCAGCACCAUUUGUGACCCUACUCAACUGUAUCAUUAUCCAGCUCCUGUUAUUCAUCAAUCUUUUCCAACUAGACUAUCAGGACAGAUGUUAAAUAACCUUUUUUUAGAAAAUCAGAAGCAUACUUAGAUUUACCCAUUUUCCCAUUUACCACUCCAGUAAUUAUAUCAGAAAUUGAUAACAAAGUAGGCUAAUGAGAAAUUCGGAACGCAAUUGGGAAAAUUUUAAAAUCAAAAUCCCAAUCUCAUCAUUAUGACCAUGCUAUAGCCUAAUAAUCCACAUGAAAAGGAAAAAGACGCAUUGUCAUAACUUAAUUGUUCUUUUAUACCUUCUAUUUCAAUGGCUAGAGUGGAUUUGUCUUAAGCCAUUUUUUAUACCUUGCCUCUAUGUGGAAAUGCAGGACUCCUGAAAGGGACAAUCCUUUGGGAGCUUGCAGUAAGAACUCUGUUUAAUAGUGGCCAUCAAGGAAACAAUUAGCUGCCUUGUUAACAGUGUAAUGAGGGUAACCUUUGACUUUGCUGUGCAAUGCUUCCCUUUGGACAUUGGGGAUCUUGUGGUCUCUUCUAAGCCAUCCACACAAACAGGAGCAGUGAGAUUUGCUCUUUCUGCUGGAUCAUUAUUUUCUCCUUGCAAAGAAAGCCUUGUAUUUUCUUCUAGGCACUUGGUUGGAAUGGGAUCCAUAUCACUUUGUCUCAAAUGCUGAAUGGUACUUACUAUGUUAUAUGGAGAGCUAUAAAGUUCUGUUCAUAAUAAAUAGGGGAACUGCUUUUCCAAACCUGUUUCUCAUUUAAUUUAAUUUAAUUCAUAAUAUUCAAAUUGGGUACAUGAUGCUAAUUCAUGUUGAAAAGGUUCUGAGUUUAGAUUACUAAUCCUCAGAAUGUGCCAGGCCAAAGAGGUUUAUGAUAAAAGAUGUAUUCAUCAUUAAAAAGAGUAGAAGAAUUUAAUUUUAGAAUUUAAUUAAAUAUUUAGCAUCUUCAUAGCUACUUCUUGAAAUCCACUAGAGAAAAUCUACUCAAGUCGUGUUUCCAAGAUCCUGACUGAUGAAAAAGUCCUUCCCUUGAAGGUUGGGGGAAAGAUUGUCAUUCUGUUUGGCUGACUCAACUGUAAAGUUACAGGGAACAUCUCAUGCCAUUGAGAAGUGGCCAACAGUAAGGAAUUUGGUGUUUGAAAUGUUUAAUCCAGUUUACAUGCAUUUGCAAAUUCAGGCAAACACAUUAUAGCUUAUAAAAGCCCUCUCCUUUUUUUAAGUUGCUGCCUUCAUUUGGUAACAAUUGAUUACCAUGUGCUAACUAGGAGAAGACACCUGCAAACCAUAUCCUUGUCCUGCAAUUGAUUCUACUUUAACUGUGCUUGUUCAGGUUGCAAAACCAUUAGCUACUUCUUGAUAGUUUUUAUGAUAGGACUUAGCACCUGGUAUUGAGCAAGCACUGAAGAAUACAUCUUCCGUUAAAAGGUUGAUUUAUUAGUUUAUAUGUAAAAGAACACUGGAGGUUAUAAAGGUAACAAAGACCUUAAACAUUAUAUCGAUUUUUUUUUCCCAGAGCUUUUUUCUUCUUGUUGUAUUGCAGGGUAAUAAAAUUUCACUAGACCCAUUGGAUCCAUAAAAUCUGAAGUACAACCACCAACUGAUAGAAAUGAAAUUGUUUGACUAGAGCGAUAAGCAAGGACUCGGCUUUGAACUCUGAGCAGUAUAAGUCUCUUCGUUGGCCCGUGAGGGUGAAUUAUAGCCCACUGUGCACUAAAGGACAAGCACGUAUUUGCAGGAGCUCCCAAUUCAGUAAUCACUGGGUGAUACAGUGACCUUUAUGUGGCCACGGUGGCCUCCAAAGGAGGAUUUUUAGAAAUGGAAAAUCAACACCAUGCGUUUUUAAGAGAACUUGGAUUUUUCCUUAUAUGAAUUAAGUUGUGGAUAUAAGAUAUUUGAUUACGGAGUAGACAGUUGCAUAAGAAAAUAAGUUCUGUUUGCAAAUCUCAAGAUAUAUUGUCUUUAAGACAAUGAGCUUUAAAAAAAAAGAGGAUGCAGAGCUGCAGGCUUAUCAUAGUACACUGUACUAUCUUGUGCCAGACUGGAAUUUUUUGGCCUUCUCCUCUGUGCUAGAUACUGACCUGUACAAACCCUUGGCAUGUGAACCAUUGUUCAUGCUACCUUUGUCUCUCUCUAGCCCCAGUCCUGCCCCUUUCAGCUCCCAGCGCUAUGUCAUUCAGUGUCUGAGGCAUGGCUCCCCCUUAACAGUCAAGCGUAAUAGAGGGACCUCCUGGAAAAGAUCUCUGUGAUGCACCCAGGCAAAGGGAGAUUUCUGAUUUCAAUGGCAGAGGCUUGAGAACAACAUGCAAACCAGGGAAUAGUUGGAGAAGGUCUAUGUUAAAGCCGCCCUGUUGCCAUUCUUGUGGGUUGACAUAGAAGGGAUUAGAAUGGGAGGUUCCCUGGCCAGUUAGCAGUUGUUUAAAUUAAUCUAGAUAACUUCCCUGCAGUCUCAGCAGCUAUAAUUUAAAGGUACCCAUAAGCAGUCUCAUAGCUGAGGGGGCUAGAGUGGGAAGUAAGCUCACAAUGACUCGCUCUUGAUCUGUUUGUGUCAAAAAAAGAGCCAUUCCCCAAGCCACUGAGGCCUUAGAUUAAGGCCAGACCCCAGAAAAGCAGCUUUCUUCCAAAGGUACAUCUUUCAUCCUUUAUUUUUUUGGAGUCUAGAUUCAAAUUGUCUACAUUUUUUUAUCUUUUUUUUAUCUGUUUGUCAAAAACCAAGGUGCACUGAUUGGUCAAUAACCAGAAAUUCGGUUGUUUUUUUGUUCUUUUUUUGUUUUGUUUUAGGUGUUUCAUGUCACUUAUUAAAUGCCUUAUUAACCCCAAACACAAUUUAAAACCAGCUGUGCUAGCAAGGAGGUGUGUCAGAAGUUGUUAAGUUCUGAUUGGUGGGAUCGUCUUGUGGUCUGAUAAAUGUGAUUGCGUGUUGUGCUGGUGCACGUCGGUGCCAGUUGCGAAAGUUGGACUGCUCUUGCAGUGGAUUAAUGUUGUACAGAUUUUAUAUUUUACGUAGUGCCUGAAAGCCUAUGUUCUAAAUGAGUAUCUGACCUGAUUAAUAUCCAGCUUAAUUUUGGAAAUAAAAUGGGCCACAGUCUCAUAUUUCUCCUAAAACAUAUAUGAGUUUAUUUACAUUGUAUGACUGCCAUCCUUGUGUAAGUGAAGUGGGAACAUGUCUACAUUCAGCAGACCAGCGGUGUACAUUUUCAUGUUAGGUUAGGGUGGUGCUGAUGGAGAGCCAAGUCAGGGAACCCAGUCCAGGUCAGCCCUUGCACGGUAGGGUCCCUAAACCUAGGAGGACAAAUGUGAUGCACUUGUGCUGCCCCAUCCCAUUUUAGGGCUUCUGCCAGACAUCACUAAUUGAUUACCGCUUUCUUUAUCAAACCGCAGAAUGUACCUGAAUUCCAGACAGCCACUAUCAGUCACUCACUGCUGUCAUACUAUUAGGAAUCCAACUGCUUUUUGUCACCCUUACCCAGGAAGGUCUCUUUCAUGGCCAUUGGGCAGAGCUGUCUUUGCUGCCAGGAGAAACAGUCAUAGCUGUAAUGUGGACCACAGGAUACAUACCACAUCUGCUAGCCCAGCCACAUUAUCCCAGCAAAACAGUGGGCUAAAUGAUUACCUUGCCACAAAAUGCCCAUUUCCCUUGUGGUUGAGUCAGUGCUAAAUACAUCUGCCUUAGCCCAUAGAAAUGACCUAAAUGCUAUAACAAAGCACAGCCAAACCCCUGCCAGGAGGACCCUUGGAAAUCUAAUCAGCAAGCAGGUAGCACUUAUCUUCCUGACUGAUGUCUAGCCAUGCUUCUAUUUCUGUAUCUGUCUAGAGCUAUACCUAUCUAAACCUUUGUUAUUACUGGUGAUUCCAGGAGGGUGGGAAUAGCCUUUGAAUGGAGUAGAAUUUAGCAUCAAACCAGUGAAAAACACCCUAGGUGUUCCAGGGACCAUGAGCUGUGAGGCUGCACACUCUGGCCUAGAAUACCUGUAGGGCCUGUUGAUUCAUCUCAGAAAUCCCACCUCCUGAUUUUCCCUUAUCUCCUGUUCUCUUCUCACCUAAAUUAAUCUCGAUCUUAUUGAAGGGGGAGAGGAAAUUAACAUGUUCUGACCCUCUGCUGUGUUCAGGAUCUUCACAAUUGUUUCAUCUAAUACAUACAAUGACCCUGAGAUGGGCAUUAUUAGCUCAUUGUUCAGAAGGGACAACUAAGGCUUAUAGAGUUUAUGGCACUUACCCAUGAUCUUCACAUUGUUGCUUGAAUUUAUUAAUGGCAGAGCCAACAUUCAAAUUCAGGUUUGAAAAAAAAAACCAAUAAAGUAUAUUACCUUUUCCCCUUUUAACAACUCAUGAAAAAAUAAUUCUUCACAACGUUUUUCUUUGAAAAUGUCAUCAAAAUCUUCCUUUGGCUCUAAUAAUCCAAAUCUUCAUUCUGGUUUAUGAAAGAUGCAACUUAUUUCAUGGCUUUCUACUAAAGAGUAAAUUUUAGAGAGUUAAAGUAAUUUUCUGGAUGAUGCAAAUAGACCAACUAUGAAAGUUUCUAGGGAAACAUGUCAGUGAUAACAAAUGGCAUUGCUAUGCAGUCUGAUUCGGUGCAAAAUCAUCCUGUUUACAUGGGGCUAUCCCUCGUCUCCCUCCCCCCACCAGCCUCAUCUCUCCCCUUCAUUUUACCUGACCAGUCUCAGAAAAGGUGAGAAUUAGAUGUGUGAAACCUACAUGAUGACCCAAGGCGCUCUUCUUCUGUCUCCAUCUCUCUAAUCCAAAUUAAGCAACAUGGUCUUAACUCAUCCUACAUGUGGGUGGGCUGCCAACAUUUGACCUCAGCAAGACACACUAAGUGGCAGAGGAUACUUGACUGUAAAUAAAACUCCAUUUAGGUAUGACUUUUUAGAAAUUGGCAGAAUCACAUCUCUGAGCUCGAAUGGCAUUUUGAAGCAUUGCUAAUUCCAAGAAUUUUUUUCUCUGUUCAAGUUACUCUGAGUAGUCAUUUUCAUUUGCCUGUCUGUUCACGAUUUUAUGGCAUGUAAGUGACAAGCACUCCCUGUAACACAUCGUGGGAGGGCAUCCACUAAAAGAGAGCUCAAGCUGAAUGACAUUGGAUGUGAAAUGCAACCUUUUUCUGCCAGGCUGUGUGAUAUUUAGCAUGCCUUGACAUAUGCUAAACUACCAAAUUUCGAAACAAUUGGAAAUCCCUUAGGAAUGUUACAUGGAAUAUGUGGGUCAGAAUUCUCUCAUGAUUAGUUAAAAAGUCUAAAACAUUUCCCACAAUUUCAAAUCAAUAUUUUAUGUGAACUCUAUCUGUGGAUUUGACAUAUUGAACCUGACUUUAUAGUCUUAAGUAGUGACUUUACACUAUUGGGAAAGUCAUUUAUGGUAGAUGUUCCUAAUACCUGCUGUCUAUUGAAACCAACUUAUACAUUUUAAUAAUGAGAUAUUGGUAUUUUGAAACAUCUAAAAGUAAAAGAAUUAGUGGUGAUAGGUAAUGGGAUCAUACACACACACACACACACACACACACACAUAUAUAUAUUUUUUUCCCCCCCAAGGAAUUCCAGGCACAUGGCUAUUUGUUGUCUUUCAUAUCCAACAGAUACAUUAGUAAUCCAUUAAUUUUUCUAUAGUGAAUUAUUUUCAAAUCACUUACUGAGGUUUGGGGCCAUGUUCAAAGGGCAUGUAUUUUACUUUCUCUUUUAGAUGAAUAUUUAUUUAUUUUGCUAGCAUUUGAUGGUUAUGUUCUUCUUACUUAUAUACAUAGUUUAAUUGAAAUCUUUGUACAUACAUCAUUAACUCUUAACAACCCCCAGGAAAACAGCAUACCUGUGUUCAGGGAAGCAAGGAAAGAAAGUGGGAAGGAAAGGGAGAAAGAUAUCAAAAUUAUUUUAGUCCUUGCAGCUGUGUGAAAAUUGCUCUUUUCAAAACUUCAGUGACCUCCAUCUUGCCAAAUCUGUAUGUCAUAUCUUUUUGAUUUUUAGCAGCAUUCAAACCAAGUGACUACUGUGCCUUUAUUUAAUCAAUCUUUCCUUCCUACCUCCUCUCCUUCCUCCUGAGACACUAUACCCUCCUAUAUUUUUUGCUAACAUUCCUGGCAUUUCUUCCAAAAUCACUUUCCUGGAGCUUCUUCUGCUUCUGACUUCUAAAGUUUGGAGCCCGGGCUCUUCUCUCUCUAUAUUCAUUCCUUAGCAGUUCUCUUCUAUUUGUUCCUAAAGCUUUAAAUGCCUCCUGUCCACUGAUGACUCUCAAGUUCAUAACUCUAGCCGUGACUUCUCUGAGCUGGAGCAUUUGUGUUUGUGUUUGUGUGUGUGUGUGUGUGUGUGUGUUAUAUAAUAAGCAGCUCAAACUUUAUAUAUUAAACCUGGAUCAUUGGUUUCUAUACUCAAGCCUGCUUCCUCUCAAACUGUUCUGCCCCUAUCAUCCCCAUCUCAGUGCAUGUACCACCAAUUUCCCUGUUCCGUAAGCACCAAACCUACAAGUUAUGCUUGUCUCCCACCUUACAUCCAGUCCAUAUCUAGGUCCUAUAUAUGCUUCCUUGAAAAUAUUCCAAUCUGAUCAUGUUCACCAGUGCUACCAGUGUCAGCCCAUAAAGUACUAUAAGAGCUUCUCACUCGUCUUUCUGCUUCUACUCUUUCUUUAUGGGGUCAGUUCUCCAUAGCUCUUGCCUUAUGUGUCCUAGUUCUCCAGGAGCUGGGACGACCUUUAACAAAUACAAGUGAAAGCAUACCAUGUUUUUGGUCCUAACCCUCCAGAAUAGAAUCCCAGAAUGAAAUCCCAUGAUGAAUCAAUCAAGAUGAGCUAGUUUAUCCUACAGUAACAAAUGAUCUCAGUGGUUUAAAGCAACAGAGUUACCUCAAAAGAUAAACAUAGAAUUAUUGUAUGACCCAACAAUUCCGCUCCUAGGUAUAUACCCCAAAGAACUGAAAACAGGCACUCAAACAAGCCACAUAUCUUAAUGCCCCAAAGUGUUUCUCCCUUACUUCUAAGCAAAAUCAUUUUUUUCCUUUUCUUUCUAAAACAAAUUCCUUAUUAAACAGUAGAAGGUAAACUUGCUUUCUUUUUUAAAAAAUCUUCUGAGAUAAAAACUCUUUCUGAACAAAAUUACUCUUCUGAUUUUACAUUUGUCAGUGUUUUAUGUAAUAAAAAGAGCUAACAUUUUUUAGGUGCUAUUUAUGUGUCAGAGAAAGGGUUGAGCGUAAUCAAAUUUAUGCUCUUAAUAGCCCUUGGAGACAGGUGUGUGAUUAUCCUUAUUUUACUGCUGAUGAAGUAGGCCCAGGGAGGUUAAGUAGUUUGUCCAUGGUCACACCAUCUAUUAAGUGACAGAACCGGUUGGAGUUCAGACUCUUGACUCAGGGACCAAAUCUAAUGACUACAUUAUACUGGCUUCCCUUGUAUACCGCCAACAAAUGCAAAAUCCAUUUUCAGCCACUAAAUUAACAAAAAAAUCUGAUGUGAACAAGAAGGGCACACAUUUAUUAGGCAACUGGCCAUGGGUGGAACUCAAUAUUUUGGGGGGCAAACAAGUGAAUCCAACCCUCCCUCAUGCCUAUUUUGUGAGCCCCAUGCUCUAAAAAUUACUCUUGAAAUUCAACGACAGCAAAUUAUAUGCAUUUUUUCUUGAUUAAGCUAAUUCACUAAGCACUUUGCAUAAGAAAGUGGCUAAAGAGAGGACUGUCCUUCCAUCCACUCCAAUUCAAUAAAGCCGUCAAAAGGAAGAGGUCAAAAACAAAUGGCAGAUUUUUUUCAUCCUCCUUUUCAAAUCCUAAUUCCAGACAGAAAUCAUUCCAAAUAAAAUGAGAGAGGACUGUCAGCAAGUUACCUGGAGGUGGAAGCUGAAGGGGCCCUCCUAGAGGCGGGUGAAGGUCCUUUCGGUGGUUCUCGGGCUUAGGAGCCUUAGCACUGUGAUCCAGGACUUGCUGAGCUCUCAGAAACCCACCUCUGAGUGCUGUCUCUCACCCUCUCUGCCUUCCUUUUGGUUGUAUUUUCUUUAACUCUUUGCCAGCGAUUAUUGAAAGUACAGUAUUCAUCUCUGUGUAUAAUCGGCUAAAAUGGGACAACUUUUCAAGUUUUAUAAUUCAGUGCAAGAUAUUGUCUGGCUUUAUAGAUUCUAAGAUUAUACACCAUGCCAAAAGUGUGGUUUUAUUGACAAAUGAGUGCAUUUAUCUGUCAUGAGCAAGAAUUAGCUUCAGAGUAUGUGGAAAUAACUUACUAAAUGGUAUAUGAUUUGAAAGAGGCUAAAGCACAAUCUCACCACCUGUGAAAGUGCUGACGUUCUGUUACUUUAUUUGGGGUUGUGAAAGGGUUGGGUUUCUAUAGUAGAUAGGUACCUAUUCCUCGGUGGAGCAAGAGUUUAGGUCCUCCUGAACUAAGUUCUUUCUUGGAGCAUCGUGAAUGAAGAGCUUCUGAGAAGAACAGUUUAUAGAAAGAGAGUUCAGAUGGGAAACGGGGUGGCAGGCAGUGGGAGGAGGGCGGCGAUGGAAGGCAAGAGGAAGUCUCCCCCAAGGAUCAACUUGCUUCGCAAGCAUGCCAACAUUUGCUAGAUCCUGGGUGCGUUUCCACUCCACUGAUGGAAGGCUGCUUGAGACUUCUCUCUUUUCAAAAAUGCCUUGAGGAAGAAAUUCAGUCUAUGCUUAUUGUAUUCAAAUGAUUGCCAUUCUUCUGGAACAUAAUUCCAAAUAUUCCUGGUCUUCUAGGGUCCCUUUUUGAGUCCCUUAUUUAGUCAAUAAGCUCUCAGCCUCUUAAUCUCCUCUGCUAUGCACUGAAUGACCAGAGUGGCCGUUGCUGCCACCUACAGAGCUGCAUGUUUUGCCCCUUAUGGAGAAAAAGAAAAUUGUGUCCAAGCUGAUUCCAGGAUUCACAGCAUCUAUGUUAAGUGUAUUACCACCUUCCAUUUGCAACUGACAGGAUUACCCUAGGAAUUCUAUUUUGUCAGGUAUUAGAUACAAUAUUAAUAGGUGGCAGGCCAUACCAGAGGACUGAGGGCUCCACUAAAUUACUGUGAGGGAAGCAAUUUGACAUCCUUUCAUCUUUUGAUGGGAGCUAACUGUGAAAUCUAGGUGUAAACAUCUAAAAGAAUGGAAAGUCACACAUGGAGGGGGAGACCUGGGGGGCUGGCAGGAAUCACUACUCAGAGAGGGCAAAGACUGAGGUGGUAUUGCAAUUUAACGAGAUUAUUUCUUUCCAAGAUUAAUGCAUCUGUGGAACUACUUGGCCUUAUUCCUGGAUCCUAUCAAUUUACCAAGGACAUUUACACAAAUGGCUUUUGUAGUCUUACUGAUAUUGGGGCUGGUGACACUGGCCCAAGAAUUCAAUUUCUUCUAUUUGCGAAGAUGCACAGUGCUGGGGAGCUUAGGCAGCCCCACUUUGGGUUCCUUAACCCAUUAUUAUCUGUUGCUUUAAGACUGACUAAUAAGGAUGACACACAUGACUUCUACUCCUCUAUGCCUUUGUUCAGUGUUUCUUAUAAACUCAAAAGCAAAUGCAAGGACAUGAUCAGAUAUCUCCUCCUCUGACCUUCCACUCAAAAAUAUACUUUCUUUAGCCUCAUCUUUUCUCCCUUCCUCAAGACACACAUGUAAAAUAGUAUCAUCAUUAACAUCAUCAUAUUUCUCUAUAUUGUUUGUUAAUUUUUUUACAGAUAUAUCUUAUUUCCUAGAUUAAAUGGCAUUUUUCUCAAGAGUGAAUCUUUGUCAUCUCUGCAAUACCUAGAAAAACAACGUUAAUAGUAACUAGUUAAUUGCAUGCUUACGCUAAGGUAGGUGCUGUGUUAAGUACUUCAUUUAUUCCUUUUAACCCCUCUUGAAUUUGAUAUUACUGUUUUCUCUCCUUUUUAGAUGUGAGAAAAGGGGCUUUAGUAUAGAUUGCCCUAAAUCACACCAAAGGAAACUCAAAGGAGUUUGAAGUUGGGUUUGUCUUCCUGAAGAACCACACUGUACUUCUCCCUUAGUAGAUAUGUGCUCUGGAACAAACUUCCUCAAGCUUUGUGGCUUAAAACAACCACCCUUUUAUUUCUUUGCCCACAGUUCUUCAGGGUGGAUACGGCUUGGCGGGGACAGAUCAUCUGUUUGUUAGCUGGGGCAGCUCUACUGGGUACAGAGGUCCUGUCCAAGGUAGCCUUGCCUCCGUGGCUGGCAAGGUGGUUGUGGCUGCUGGCUUAGUUCUCAGCUGGGGCUGUUGGUUGGGGGCCUCAGUGCCCCUCCACAUGGCCUCUCUUUAGGGUGAGGUUGGGCUUCUCACAGCAUAAAGGCAGGAGAUGCUAGGACUUCUUAAGGCGUAGGCUCCAAACUGGCUCAGAAAGACUUCCAAAGCAUUCUUUGGUUAAAACAGGUGACAAGGCUGGCCAGAUGCAAGGGAGGAGACCACACAGAGCAUGAAUAUAGUAGUCCCCCCUUACCUGCAGUUUCACUUUCUGCAUUUUCAGUUAUCCAUGGUCCACCAUAGUCUGAAAAUACUAAAUGGAAAAUUCUAGAAAUAAACAGUUCAUAAGUUUUAACUUGCCCACUCUUCUGAGUAGAGUGAUGAAAUCUUGCUUCGUCCCGCUUGGUCCUGCCCAGGACCUGCAUCAUUCCUUUGUCCAGUGUAUCUGCAGAGUAUACAAUACCCGCCCAUUAGUCACGUAAGCCCUCUUGGUUAUCAGAUCGACUGUCAUGGUAUCAUGGUGCUUGUGUUUAAGUAACUCUUAUUUUGCUUAAUAUUGGCCCCAAAGCAUAAGAGUAGUGAUGCUCGAAAUUCAGAUAUGCCAAAGAGAAGCCAUGAAGUACUUCCUUUAAGUGAAAAGGUGAAAGUUCUCAACUUAAUGAGGAAAGAUAAAAAUCAUAUGCUGAGGUUGCUAAAAUCUACAGUAAGAAUGAAUCUUCUAUCCAAGAAAUUGUGGUGGAGAAAAAACAAUUCAUGCUAGUUUUGCUGUCACACCUCAGAUUUAAAUGUAUGGGAAAGCACAUGGUCUAUAUAGGGUUCAGUACUAUCCACAGCUUCAGGCAUCCACUGGGGGUCUUGGAACAUAUCCCCACGGAUAAAGGGGACUACUGUAAUGUCAAGCAUGGUUCCCAGUAAUGGUUCAAAGUUAACAGUCUACCACACGAAGAUACCAAAACAGUUUUUCAUUAUAUUUCGAUAUCAUCAAAGAAUCCAUGAAGUAUAAAUUUUAUUACUGUAUCCAGGACUAUAAUGCAGACAGAGAAGAUAACAGCUUCUGCUUCUGCUCAGUAGCACCUGGUACCCCAGAAGUUCACACAGAAACCAAAAUAAAGACAAAGCCAAUCCAAUUGACAAGGCAGAGUGAUGCUUUAAACAUACCACACACAAGGUGACUUGGCGUGCUCAUUCUGUGAGUGUUUUUAAUAGCAACAGUGACCAGAGUAUGCUCCAUCCUAAUUGCUGGGACGCAUGCCCCUUUAUUUUAGACACUUUAAUUUGCAUGCCUUUCACAGGAUAGGGAAACAGUACUCAAAUACGUACUCAUCCUUACCUCUAGGUGUAAGUGAAGAAAUAAAAAUUGGAUAUGCUGGUGUCAGGUUACACGUGGAACAAGGGCUGGGGGUGUCUGGAUUAAUGUGCUAAUUUAUUCCAAGAGCAGCAAUAAAGAGUCAUGUAACUUUUGAUUACAUCCUGGGUGUCCAUUUAGGGAAGUGGAUCUUCAGGUUUUGUUUCCAAAAUAGAUUGCGUAUUUUCAGUGCUCAUUGAAAGAAACAAGGGAGAGGGGGUGAGAGGGUGCUCUGGCAGCCCUCAUUAUUUAUAGUUGGCGAUAUUGUUAGUGUUCACCCCACGGAGCACUGAAUCGCAUCUAAGCCCGUAAUUUCCAUAUCUUUGGAAAGCUUUUAGCUCCUCGCUGCCUGUUGGCAUGGCAACAUGACAAGAGUUAUGAUGUCAAAACCACAUGAACUCAAGAUUGAUCUAAAAUUAUUUGGGAAACUUGCCCAUUUCAAAUUUCCAUUGAGAGAGAGGGAAAGAAAGGCCACGUGGCAGCUUCAUUCAAAGAGAAAAAAAAAUCUUUUUUUUCUCAAUUGCCCUGAAAUAAAUUCUCUAUUUUCCUUUCCAUGUAAUGCUAAAAAGAUUACUGUCCUUCUGAUGUUUUUGUCAUUUUCUUUCAAAUUCAGAUAUUUUAAUCUCCUUUUCUCUUUUUAUUUUUUUUUCCUGUUCUGAUUGAAAUCAGUGGUUGAUGCUAGCCUUCUUUUUAGGCUACACAUGAAAGCAGGGCAGGCCUGCAGGCUGAUGGAUGUCCUCUGCAAUUGGCAGGUGUCUCCUGAAGUGAGGGUGGCCUUGAAGAAACGUUGAGAGUUGGCAGAGAUGUCAGGAGAUACCAAGAGCUACUAUCUUUUGAGUAUUUGCUGGCCACAGGUGUUAUUUGCUGCAUGUAGAGGAAUAAACUGAAGGGUCACACUGAUGAAGUAAGUUACUUGAGACCAGACAUUGAGAAAGUGGCUGAACAGAGAUUCAUUGAAAGAAAUACCUGAGCUUAUUAACAAGAGGAAUAUGAUGUCCUCAGGUGUAAAUAAGUGAAAAACGUAUGUAUAAAACUGUGUUGCCUUGGGAAAUUUAUUUAACCUGGUUUCUUUAUCAUAGCCUCAGUUUACCAACUUGGAAAAUGAGGAUAAUCUUAGGAACCUCCUGAGUUUCUAGUUUAUGUUGAAGAUAAAAUAUGAGAACUCAAGCUAAAGAUAGAGCCCGGUCUUUGCAUGAAGAAGAUAAAGAAAUGCUGAUUGCCCUGUAGAAGUGAAUAGAUUUGUAUGGGAUUCUCAAAGAUUAGAGGGAAGGAGCAACACAUUCUUGUUUCAAGCAUCCCUUUCUCUCUUCCUUAGGAUGCAGAAUUUCACCAUAAUGCUGCACUUUGGCAUAUCUACUUCUGCUACCAAGAUAAUUUCUUGUCUCUAACCAAAUCUUAAACUGACUGCACUGAAAUUAAAUAAAAUUCUCCAUCUUCAACCUUCAACAUUAUUCCUCAGCAGGAUUCAUAGUCAAAGGAGAGUUUGAAGUUGGAGGAAGUUAUUAUUUUUUUCUGUUUAAUGUUAGGUUCACAUUCACAUAUAUUUUUGCACAAAUUUUAAUUGAGUGCCUACUAUGUGUUAGGCACUUUUUUAGGCAAAAGCUGAAAAAAAAUAGACAAAAGUCCCUGGCAUUGGGGAGCUUCUAUUUUUAGUGUGGGAGAUGGAUAAUUAAAAAGUAUAAAUAAGUAAAACAUAUACAAUGUUAUUUAGUAAAAAUGCUAAGGAGAAGAAACUAAUCUGGGAAGGAGUCAACUGAGCACAGGAGGCGUCAGGACUGAGGUUGAGAUUUUAGAUCAGGUAGCUCCAAAAGGUGUAACUGAGGUGACUUGUCAUUCAGGUAUCUGGAGGAAGGAGCAUCAGGCCAAGCAGAGGGAACAGCAGGUGCAAUGGCCCUGAGGCUCAGUGUGUUCAGGAGCAGCAAGGAGACCGAUGAGCUUGGAGUAGAGUGAGUCAGAAGGAGAGUUGUAAGAGAUGUCUUAUUUUCUGUCCUUAUAACACCUUCAGGUGGUAGAGAGCACACACAUUAAUCAUCUGAAACAAAUAAAUAAGUGACUUGCCUAAGGUAACAAAAUGAGUUUGAGUUAGACCCAGACUUGGGACUCCAACCCCAGCAUCAUUCCACUGGAGCCUGAUCUUCAGCUGUUCUUCACAAUUGGAAUCAUUUUGAGUCACAAUAUCACUGUUCACUCUUCAGAUAUAUGAGAGGAAAACAUUCUAAGCCUUUCUCAACUGUGAGCGUGUUUCUGUAAUAAUUCCGUAUAGAUAUAAUGAAUGCCUAUCUCUGUAUAACAAAGAUUUUUCCUUGCUGCUCCUCACUAAGCUAUGAGAAGAAAUUCAGGCCAAUUGAGCAGGAGAUAGAUGGUGGCCGAGUAAGAAUUAGACCACAGACAUCUGUACGCUGGAAUUGAAUCACGAUCGGAUGUGCACAACCUGGUCUCCCAGAGCUCCCCAUCCUCCUUCUUGAGAUGUGAGUAGCUUCUCUCUCCCCACUCAGAGCCUUCGCUUUCUCUGGCUGGCCGCAGAAGUGCAUCCUUCAGGCCUUUUCAUCCGCACAAGUUCAAGAAUUGCUUUGCCAGUGGAUUAACACUUUUAUUUAUUAUUUUGUUAUGUGUUCCAUACAUUUUAGGUUAAGCACUUAUUAACUGCUUUUGUAUCAGGCAUGGUUCCAACAUUGUUACAUUUUAACCUCACUAUGACCCUGAGAAGUAUAUUAUCCCUAGUUCAUAAAUAGUAAAGUUUUGAGAGGUUUAGUAAAUUAUUCCAAAAGACAAAGUAUAGUACAAAUGAGCCAGCUGUUUGCUUGGUGUGGAGAAGAUGUUUACUUGUAGGUGAAGUGUGGCCAUUUCUUCUGCCCCCUGGGUAUAGCAAGGGCAACACAGAGAAGAUCAGCCACACUUGCCCUCUUGAAGGAAGAAGGGCAAAGCCUUAUAGUUUGGUGGCGCGUGAGAUACACUGUGGCUUCCUGCCUUGCACUGUGACCAAAAUGUUUGCGCGUGAGGUACUCGUGGCUUCCUGCCUUGCACUGUGACCAAAAUGUUUCUUAAAUAUGAGACUUGUUCUCAUGGUUCUACACUGAUGCCUACGCUGAUCCACUGUAGAGUUCCAGUUCUUUUUGCCCUGUGGUUUUGACUUUCUAAUGCACAUAGUAGAACGUUUGGCACUUAAAUGCUCUAAAUACAUUUAAAGUGAUAUUUCACAGAAUUUUGUUACUAAAAGGCCAUUAGUGAAUAAUUGGGGAUAACUUUUCCCUAAUUUAUUUGAACCUAUGAUGGUGGUGAGUGACGUGCAUGCAUUCACACACGCACACUCCACUUUUCACUCUUUGAUAUCAGUGAUGGAAUUGUCUUCUAGACCCAGGGGCGAUUUUGCACCCCAAGGGACAUUUAGCAAUGUUUGGAAGCAUUUGGGGUUCUCAAAACUGGGGGGAGGGGUACUACUGGAGUCUAGUGGUUAGAGACUGGGGGUGCUGCUAAACACCCUACAAUGUGUAGGACAGCCCCCCAUGACAAGAAUUGUUCAGCCCCAAAUGUCAGUAGUACUCACCUAGAUUUGUCUAUUUUUUACAUUACCAUAUUUACGAGAAACUUUGAUUUGGAAUCAUUCUAUCCUCACAGAAAGUAUUUUUGUUCUAAUGUCAAAAAAAUUUUUUUUAAACUAUGUGUAUUACCACUAGUGACAAGGCAAACAUAUCAACACUAUUGGGGAAAAAAUGUAGAUUUUUCUCUGUUGGAAACCUGAAAUUUGACCCUCUUAAAAAAUGUUGAAAUCAGUUGUGUUUUCCUAGAUUCUUUUCUUUUCUUUUGUUUUUUCUUUUUGAUUUUCUGCUCUUUUAGACACAGUAAGCUUUGCCCGUCUGCAAUGUGAAAAAUUAUCUCAUCAAAGAGAACUGGAUCCUUCCCAGCCCCGAUUCAGUUUAUCUGCAGGUCUUUCCUGGGUACCUGUUGGGUGCUCAGCCUUGGGGAAGCGCAGUGGGGAGAAGUGGUUAAUUCCUGGAGUCCCCGGGUGAAAUAAUAGUGCAGGGCAUCAGCGGGUGAUUCGGGCCCCACACUGAACAGCACACAGUCUUCUUUGAUUCCUUGUGCCAUGUGAAUAGGUCUUCAUCGAGGUUUGUGUCAGGUAGGGUUUAUACCAUUGAGACUCUUUUUUGUUUUUCUUCUUGAAGAGAAGGAUUGUUUUUGUCGCAGGGAAUUUAUUUGUAUUCAUUUCCUGAUGAUGCUAAGGUGCCUAGACUAUACAUUUUGGCCAUUUAUUUGUCUUGCAUGGAUUUCUUGAGUCCAAGUUACGGGGGAGGAACCCUGCCACAAUUAUCAGGAUAUCCCUGACUUCUGGACAUCUGUGACAUUUCCCAUUUCCUUUGUCGGGAAUUUGUGCUCCGUCAGCGAUUGGAGCCUAGUUCAUCUGUCAUCUCUGACAGUCAGAAGUUUGCAUUUGACCUGUGUUAGGUGGACUGAAUCAUUCUCUGGCAGUAGGUCCUAGACAGUGAUGACUAUCAUCAGGGGACACUACUCCCCAUACCCCAACCAAUAGUUUUGAAUCUCAAGCCAUCCAAAGCCUUAAUAACUAGGUGCCUUUAUCUUUCAGCCCAGCAGCAACAGGCAAUUUGAUACCAGUCUAGUAAGGCUUAAGUGGGAUGUUAGGGGAGACAAGAGAUAGUUUCAAAUCUGGGCAUUUGCUUCCAGGUCUUGCCUGCCCAGUGGAUCACAAGUGCUGGAAGAACCGGCAGGUGCUGCUGAGCGGUUGGACAAAUACCUCUAGAUUUUUCCUACAGAAAAGUGUUAUUAAUUUUGGUGUCACUCAUUCUUCAUCUUUUCUUGGUGCCUCAUAAUCUUCUACUUACAAUAAAAACUAGCAUUUAUUGAGCAGUGCUUGGCACCAUUCUCAAUAAUGUGUCUGUUACCUCGUUUACUACUCCCCAAAGAGGAGUACUCUAUCAUUUUGCUUAUUUGACACCAUGGAGAAACUGAGGCUUAAAGAGGUUAACUAAUUUUCUCAAGGUCAAGAAUUUUGUAAAUGGCAGAGCUCAUCAGUUUGAACCCAGGGAGUCGAUCUCUAGAUUCUUCUUAUUUAUUGAUUAUUGAUUAUUGUAUGUUGCAUCCCUGUGGGUUCUAUCUUAGAUGAAAACAGUGUCCAUAGGAAAACUCUGAUAAGGUGGAUAUGUGGGAUGUGGGAUGUUAGACUGUCAUCACGGUGUCCUGAUACAGGAAUGAACACUUUCCAGUUGCUUGCUUGCUUUAUAGCAACUUAUGUAUUGGAUUAAAUUAGUUAUAGUCAAACUUAAAAUGUUUAGCUGCCUUAUUUCCUAGCAAAACAGAAUGUCAGAAAUGGAAGGGGCCUUUGAAAACAUUUAAUUUUAUUUAUUAAUUUAAUUACAACUACCUAAUUACAGGAGGCUUUUGAAGUGGUUCAAUGAAACUAAAGCAUGACAAGACAAAAAGGAAGUAAGAAAGUCCAGGAAAGGGAAAACAAGUAUUUGAAAAACUAAUUUAAAACCAGAGGUAUCUUGCUUUAAGGCCUUGCAUACUUACAAGUUCCAGACCACAUAUUUAAAUAUCAGUUACUAUCAACUGAUGCAAAGAAGGGAACUGGGCUAGAUGCUGGUCAACAACAUAAAAGCAAACCCCUCUGCUCAGUAGGAACUUAAGUAGGAAAUUGAAGAAGUCAUGUAACUUAACCUGCCUUCAUAUCCUCAACUGCAGCUACAGAUGUUGUAUUGAUGAUGUCUGAGUUCUUCUCCAUCUCUAACCAUCUAGGAUUUAUGCCUCAUUCAAACUUAGUGCACAUUUUCUAAUUUUAGAGGGGAAAAUAUCUGUGUUUUCUUAGAUUUGCAUUUCUUUUUUUUUUUUUUUCUAAUUUCCUGACCUUUUAAAUCUAGUAAGCCCACUUGUUGCUCUAUGAUUGAGAAAAUUAUAUAUUUAUGGCCAUUUGACCCAAUAAAGAAUUCAUGUUACAAAAAAUGUACAAUGAAGUGUCUUCCAUGGAGUAAGAUAAAAUCCUAGUAUUCAUUUAUUAUUACAAACUGAAGAUCUAUCAAAAGUCAGGAUAAAGCAUCUCAAUAUGACAGGGUAAUAAAUAAAACAUUUUUAUUCAGUUUACUCAAACUUAUUUUAUCCACAACUUUUAGAAAUUUAGGUAACACAUAAAGGUAGGUCCCUGUGUCUGAGAAAAUUGAUAACAGCUGUAAAUGUGCAAAAGCAGUUAGAAAGGAUAAGAGAGGUUGUGCUGCAAUAACAACCAACCAAAAUCUUGAUGGAUUAAUAAGAUGUUUAUUUCUCCCUCACAAAAUGUUUUCUGUACAUCCUGAGACUCUCUGGGUAACUUUUUACCAGGCUGAUUCAAUAUGGUGACUCUGUCAUCUCAAAACUAGGCCUCCACACCCACCCUGCAGGAGAGAGGGCCUGGAGAAUCUCACAGGGCAUUUGCAUUUCCUUGAUCCUGAAAUGACAUCAUCAUUUUUACUCGUAUUUAAUAGACCGGAACUGGUCAAUGGCCGCAUCUAAUUUUUUUUUUUGAAUGCCCAGACAAGAAAGGAGAAUAUGGUACUGGUUAGAAUCAGCAAUGCCUACCUCACUGAUAUAAAUAUUUUUUAGCCCCAAAGCCCUGCAGUAGCACAAAUUAGACUUCUAGUGACUCAUUUUCUCUGAAAUUAUAGGAGUUAUUACUGAGAUUUCUGAUAAUUUUUAUCAAUUUUAUAAUUAAACUUUAAAAACUCAUUUGUACUGUCAUUUACAUUUAUAUUUAUAAACCACAUUAUGAUUAUGUAAGCAUCCUUAAAAGUUAUUUUUAAGUUUUUUUUAGGUAAAAUAAAGUUUUAAGAGCAAAGAAGAGUAGUUUGAAGUUGUUUUAUGUGCAUUAUAUGUAUGUUUUGCUAAUUUCUGUAGAUUUAAAUUUUUCACACUGCCUGUUUUAGAAAAAAAUAAGCAAUUAGAAAUUAAUUUAGAAAUAAAGGCUGUAUAAUCUUCAUUUUGUAGUGGUGCUUUGGUAAAUAAGUGAUUACCUUAGAGCUUUAAAUUGCAAUAUAACUCAUUUUCCAUUUUGCUUAUUUUUUACAAAUCAACAAAGAGUCAAUCUUUUUCCUUUUCUAGCCAUCAAAUACUCGGUGCCGUCUUCUUACUGUAUUCUGAAUGGGCUCACUUGUUUUCACUAGUCUUUGCUCGGUAUCAGAAUUUGUAGUUGAUGUGGCUCAUUUAUCAGCCAACUAUGGAGAGAUUCUGAAAGAUGUUUUGUCAUUUUCCACUGUCAAAAUGAUGCAUUCGCUUUUGUCUUACUUGCUUUGAAAGAGCUUGAGUUGCACUUAUUUUGCAGGAUAAA